rnacentral:lncRNA from 1 species
AAGAGAAAUGAGGUUCCGAUCGGUGCACAACCGAUCGGCACAACCAAGCGGCAAUGCACACAUCCUUCUUCACCGUACGGACGAGUGGCUCCGAUCGGUUGUGCAACCGAUCGGACCAACCGAUUGGAAGUGCGGAUGGAUCUUUCUCUUCACUUGGUUCAAUACUCCCCCGCAAGCUUGAGCGUCGGGACAAUAAGGACCAAAGGUCAAGCUUGGAGAUCUUCGGCCUUGUCUUCAUGACUUCCGCCUUGACUCCCUUCUACUUCUUCUUCUCUUUCUUGAAGAUGGCUUGGCCUCUUCGGCCUCUCUCUUCUUUCCUUCUUAUAUUUUAAUACCCUCCCGCACGUUUGAUCGUCGGGACAACAUGAGGACCAGAGAUCAAGCGUGGACUCGUGUCGACUACCUCAUUAAAAACCUUAACAAAGAAAACCACUUGGGAUAAAACUUUGUUAAGGGAAAAAGAGUAUAGCCUUCACGGUCCUUGAUGUCGCUAUGAUCUUGGUUUGUUAAGAACCGGCUCUCUUCUCUUCAAGUCUUUGAACCGCUACACUGCCUUUAACUCGCUUCUCAUGAUCUCCAAUCUUGCACUUCUCGAAUUUCUUUGAGGCUCUCAUAGUCUCCUUUACCCUUUAAACAAGUGAUAAAGAAGAAUAUAUAAGUGUAUGCUAUGAGGAAUAUCAAAG